rnacentral:rRNA from 1 species
UACAGAGGGUGCAAGCGUUAAUCGGACUUACUGGGCGUAAAGGGCGCGUAGGCGGUUGAUUACGUUAGGUGUGAAAGUCCCGGGCUUAACCUGGGGAUUGCGCCUGAUACUGUUUAGCUAGAGUACUGUAGAGGAAGGUGGAAUUUCCGGUGUAGCGGUGAAAUGCGUAGAUAUCGGAAGGAACAUCAGUGGCGAAGGCGACUUUCUGGACAGAUACUGACACUGAGGCACGAAAGCGUGGGGAGCAAACAGG